ensembl:lncRNA
GCCUCCUGCAGGACAAUGGCCCCUGCCCGCUGUGCGCGCGCGCGCGCGCGCCACUCCCGGCCCGGGAGCCCCGGCCGCCGGCGCUUGACGCACGCGGAGCCGCGGAGGCCGCGACCCCGGCCUCCUGGAACCCGAGAGCGGCUAGCAAGACGAGCCGGGUCAGGUCCCCGGGGGAGGCCGGGCGCCACCCGACCCGCAGGAACGCGGGUGGCUGUAAGGGAGGGACCGGGGAUGCGGGCACAUCCUUCCGUUGCCGCUCUGCCUCUGCACCCCCUGGCGUGGCGCCGGCCGGUCCCAUUUCAUCCUCCCCACGAACCUCCAAAGCGGUGCUACCAUGAGCCACGUUCACAAACGAAAUCCUCCAGCCUCACGGAAGAUAUGAACUUGCCCAAGCCGCCUCGGCUGGGAAGGUGGAGUGAAGCGACUUGAAUACAGGACUUUUCUUCUUCUUUUACUUUAUUUCGCGCGGCUCCCGAUUCCUAGGGCGCCAAGGAAGGUAAUUCGCGCCGCUUCGCGCCGGCUGUCGCGAUGCUUCCCGGAGCAGUCCAGGGUGCGCCUUCUGGGGAGCGCUGGGGCGGAGGCAUCGGCUGCGCUGAGUGAUGCAGAACUAAAGUGGAAAUGACCCAGUGAGGAAGGAAAGUGAGCACUGCCUGCCCUGGCCACACAAUUAAAACAUAUACGCCGGCCAAAGGUGCAUUACUCCUCCGCCCAUCUCUUCAGAGUGAGAAAGGCUCUUUUUGACCUGGAAGCCUAUUAAAGCAUUCCACUUGGGGAAUUCUCUGCCCCUGCUGAAGGGACACUGUGAGAAAAUCUUGUUCUUUAGAAUGCAGCCACACAAAGGGUUUUGUGCAAAUACCGAGUCAUGAUUCUAUAAAUGCAAAGAAGAAUUAGGGAUGGUAUGUGAACAAAAGCUGGACAGAGGAUGCACGCCCAGAUGCUGUCUUGGCCAGGUUGCAGUUUGAAUGAUCUAAUGUUUUCUGGCUCCUUCCUUUGCUUUUCCAAUUUGGUUUGAAUAUUUGCAUUGCUGUAUUAUUUUCCUGGUACAAUUGCUGUUGUCUGUACACAAUUAGGUCAUUUUCACAGUUGGGUGAGGAGACACUUCAGACCUGAGAUGAGCUGCAGCUGUUAGCUGAUUCCCUCCUGGGGUGUGUAAUUAGAUUCCCAUCUUGUUGGUCCCAAAGACACCUCUUGCACCCAACAUCUGAAAGUUUUAAUGUAAGCCAUUUAGCCAAGUGGAAAGAAACCAUGGCAUCCCUUUGUAAUGGUGGCUAAGCACAUCUUGUCUCUGUAAGUUUCGGGUUAAUUUGCUGGUCUAGUCAUCCUGCUCUUUGUGCCGAACAUAACCUUGCAUUUCUAUGCUCCAGACAGGAGAAAAGGCCUGUUUCCUGGCAGCCUGUGGCUUCUUGGUUUGUGGCAGGUCUGCUGAAGACCUGGACAAGGCAGGAGAAAAGGAAAUUAACAGGAUGAGGAGGAAGGACCAGCUGCCUCCAGAAGUGCACACGGAAAUUCAUGUAGAUGCUCCGAUCAGUACAGAGGCUAGACUUUGAACUAGGACUUUGAAGAGUGAGAGAAAGGGGAUCCCAAAGGAAAGGAGGCUUAUUUGGCAGGUGAAAGCUGAUCAGGGCCAUGUCCACAAAGUUCUCCACAAUGCCUCACUGGUGUAAACUCUCACUGAUACACACUGACUGAUAGAGCUUUCUCAACUAAGUGGAGUUUGUGGCCCUUCAGUCAAGGCCAGGGCUAAAGUUUACGUCCAUGCUACUUUGAACUAAGGUUGGGCUAAACAAAUGGAAAGGACAUCUAUGAUUAUAAUCACUAGGGAAGCCCCCUGACUCUUAACAUGCUUCAUAAUCAGACUUGACUGUGCCCAGCUGAUUGAAAGGGCAGGAUGGUCUCUCUGGCUCAGCCUUCUCAUUGUUUUCUGCUUGCUUUCUCUUUGGUACCUUAGGUCUGAAUCUGAGAGUGGCCUUGUUACUCCUCUUUUCUUUUUUCCUUUUUAUCCAGAUCACUCGUUCACCAUUCAUUUACUAGCUAUUUGAUCCCCUUCUGUGUGUCAGACAUGUGUUAGAUGCUGGAGUUACAAGUGAGCAAGGAGUCUUUGCUUUCAUGGAGCCUGCAGUCUCGUGAGGAACACCAACCAUGAGUGUGAAAGGGAAACCCAUAUUCAGGUGCUGAGUGAUGGCUGAAGGAUGAGGCAGCCAACCCUGAGAGAUGGGACACCUUAUCUAAGCUCUCACAGAUGGCUGAUGACAAAGUUGAAACUAAAGAGAUCAUUUGGGAAUAGAAACCUGGCCUCCUGCCAUCAUCUCCUUCGAAGGCACCACACUCACAGUCUUUUCCUCUAAUUCUUUCUCAUCGAGUUGCACGUGCUUAGUACUUACCCUUUUCUCAAAACUGAGCUAUUCCCAUCUCAGUAGAAUUCACAUUUGUCACUAAAGCUAGAUGUCUGUCCUAUCUCUAAGAAUUGAUGUGCUGUGCUUUGAGAACUAAACCCAAUACAAACCUAAGUAACAAAGCUACUAUCUAAAAUAUUGAUUCAAUACAUGAAUCCAUCAAGGGAUCAACCAUUAAUUAAUACUAGGUUCUGUGAGGGCAGGACAUGUCUUCACAUACAGGAUGGCCCCAUCCCUAAAGGAAUCUGUGGACAAGCUGAUGGUACAGGGUUAAAGAGGGAAGAAAGUAGGCAUUUAUUGAGUACUUAUUGUGUGGUAUGCAGUGUACUACCUGCUUGUCCUUACAGUAUCUCAGAUAAUCGUCACAACAAUCUAGGAGGUUGGAGUGACUUCUUAAUGUAUGGAUGGAAUGCCCUCCCCCAAUCCCUGUCUGUUCAGGCGCAACGUAGCAUAAUAGCUAAAAGCCUUGUAACAGGACUCAAACUUCUUGAAUUCAUAUCCAGGCAAUGCUAACUACUUUUGGUAUGACUGAGCAAUAUAGAUUCUCUGUACUUCAGUUAUUAAAUUGGAAUGAUAAGGAUGGUGCCAAUUUUAUGCUUUGUUGUAAGGAUAAGAUACAUGGGAAGUACUUGCCACAGUGUCUAGUACAGAGUAAGCACUAGAUAAAAAUUAGGAAUUGUUGUUAUUAUCCAGCUCCAAUCCCUUUUCAUCUGCAAAGCCUUCCCAGAUCCCCCAUCAGAAUUGAUCUCUUUUGCUUCUGUAGUCUGACAUUACUGUGGGCAUGUCUUAGCACAUUCUUAUGUGUACGUGGUUAUCUGUCUGGCUCAGAAAACACAUUUAAUAAAUGUCGAUGGUUGGAUGAAUGGAUGUUUCUGUCUCCUAGAUCUCUCUCCUGUGCUCAUAGAAGGAAGAUAGUAUUGUGUUUCUUGCUAUAAGGCAGACAAAACACCCAGAUGUUCUAAAUAAAAUACAACAAAUAUACUUUGAAUGCAUGGCCAAACUCUUGUGUAAAUUAGGAAAAUCCUCAUGGACACACACACUCAUACAAAGAGGGACUGGAAUUCAGAGAGGUAAACUGCUACUGAAACUCUGCUGCUUUGAGAAAUCUGACUAUCUUGUGACUUUGGGGUUUGGUUUCAGGGACUUUAUGGAGGACAGAAGACAAGGCAUAGUGUUCUCAAAAGAUGGUAAGCUGGAGUGAGAUGUCUGCAUAAAAGUGAGACUCACGAGGGUAGACUAACGGAAGAAAAAACAAAACCCUAUCUAUAUGAAGAAAAAUAAAAGAAAUGUCUGUCUUGGCCUGUCAUAAGAUGUUAAAAUCACAGACUUCCCCAUCACAGAUUUUGCAUUUAAAUUUGUAUUACCUGCAUGGUCUGGGAACUAUGGCUGAAAAUUAGUUUCGGUUGGUCUCAGAUUGGUAACAUCCCAGAGCACCUGGCAUCUUCACUGGAGGGAUAGUCACUAAGGUCUCACUGGAGUCUAACAGAUAAAGCCCCACUGAACAUGAGAUCACAAUCUAAAAUUACAAAUCACACUAGGAAACAAGCUACCAUGAGUGAAAACUAGUAGAAACCAUAGAACUAGACAUUAUAACAGUUAUCAUAUAUGAAAUAUAAAUUGCUUAAAAUGUUUAAAGAAAUAAAGGGGGAAACAAAGACAUAAAAAUGAAUAAAUAAAAUCUAAAAGAUCAGGAAGAAUUGAGAAAGAACCAAAUACUACUUCUGGAAAUAAUACAUAAUUAUUAAAGUUAGAAAUAUGGCAAAUACAUAAAAGUAGCAUAGAUACAGAUAAAAGGAGAGUUAGGGAACUGGAAGACAGAUCUGAAGAAAUUGCUCAGGAUACAGGAGAAAAAAGGGAGAGCUAGAGAGACAAAGAAAUGUGAAACAUAAGAUGUUAAAGGAGUCAGGGAGGAAAAAAAUAGAAUAUGAGAAAGGCAGCAUUUAGAUAAAAUGGCUAAAGUUUCUAGAGUUCAGUUCAGUCGCUCGGUCAUGUCCAACUCUUUGUGACCCCAUGGACUGCAGCAUGCCAGGCCUCCCUGUCCAUCACCAACUCCCGGAGUUUACUUAAGCUCAUGUCCAUUGAGUCAGUGAUGCCAUCCAACUGUCUUAUCCUCUGUUGUCCCCUUCUCCUCUCUCCUUCAAUCUUUCCCAGCAUCAGGGUCUUUUCAAAUGAGUUAGUUCUUUGCAUCAGGUGGCCAAAGUAUUGGAGUUUCAGCUUCAACAUCAGUCCUUCUAAUGAAGGACUUUCAGAGUUAAGGGCAGGAAAUAGGACUUGCUUAAUUUUUGAAUCUAAAGCACUUUGGCAAGGGCCUGACACAUAGUAGAUGUCCAGUAAGUGUUGAGCUGAAUUGACACAUGUGCUGUGGAACUUGCUUGUCCUUUACUUCAUACACCUAUUUAUUUUAAAAAUAUUCACUAAAGAUACAGUUGUGAACAAAACAGACAAAAUCCUUGUCUUCACAGAACUUAUGCUCUGGAUGAAGAAAACAAACACGUUAAGAAAUUAAUAUUCAAGAUACUUUGAUACUGUAAGAAAUGUUAUGAAGAAAGUGAAAGGGUCAUUUAAUAGAGAGACUGGGAAUAACUUCAUUGACAAAGUGAGAGCUCAGUGAUAAGAAGUCAAGUGAAGACAUUACAGACAAGUGAAUGAUACAGUGAGUGCAAAGGCCCUGAGUGAGAAAUAACUUGGCAUUUUUGAGGAAGAGAAAGAAGUCGACGUGUCUAGAGCUGACGCAAAAAGUGGUAUGAGGUGAUCUGAUGGGCAGGAGCAACAGCAUUUUUCCCCCUUGAGAGCAGCACAAAGUCACUGGAGGGAUUCAAGCACAGGAACAUGUAUUCUGCCACCCUGCAUACUGGGUGGUAAUAGAUUGUAGGGGUAGCAAGAAUAGAUUAGGGAUCCCAGUUAGUGAUUUCAGUCAUUCAGGCAAGAGAUGACAGCAGCUUGGACUAGGAUGAUGGCCAUGAGUAUGGAGAAAAGUGGAGGGACUCAGAUAUAUUUUGGAAGUAGAAACAGGGUAUUUGGCUGGUGGCUCAGACAGUAAAGCGUCUGCCUACAAUGCAGGAGACCCAGGUUCAAUCCCUGGGUCGGGAAGAUCUCCUGGAGAAGGAAAUGGCAGCCCACUUCAGUAUUCUUGACUGGAAAAUCCCAUGGAUGGAGGAACCUGGUAGGCUACAGUCCGUGGGGUUGCAAAGAGUCGGACAGGACUGAGCAACUUCACUUUCUUUCACUUUCUUUUAAAAGGUGAAGGAAAGGGGAGGUGGGAUUAAGUGUGAUUCUUACGUUUUUGGAUUGAGCGGCUGGGUGAAUAGCCAUGCCAUUUUCCAGACAGAGAAGAGUAGAAGAGUAGUACGUGGGUGGGAACAUGAAACAGGAGUUCUUUUUUGUGCAUGUUAAGCUUGAGAUUCCUGUCAGAUGUCUGAGCAGACAGCUGUAAAUGAGAAUAUGGAGGAGCUCAGGAAAAUGAGCCCCAAGCCAAGGAGUGUUCCUAUUUUGCAGCGUAUGUUUCCUUCGAGAUCCUCCUAUAGGGUAGGUAUGGAUGGGGGUACGCAUGGGGGACUGACCACUUUUAGCGACAGACUCUGUGGGAGCAGGGUCAAUGGAACUCUGGAGUUUAGGAGACUCUUUUGGGCCCAUUGCUUAACUCAGCAUGGGAGCUUACAGUCUUCCAGGCCCAUGUAACCCUGAUGAUUUUAAUAGCUGCCGUAGUUUUAAGGCGAUGUUAUUUUUGAGGGAUGUCAAAAGUCUGAGUUCAGAAACGACUCAGUGACAAACUCAGGCAGUUCUUGUGUGGGGAGGGGUGGAGAAGUCAUCAUGUCAUCUGGCUCCCACCCACUCCCACCCACUAACUCAGAGCAUUGUAUCUCAGAGAUCCAAGGGAGUCAAGUGUCAAGAAUAUGACGCAUCAGAGAUACAAAGGAAAAGGAGAUCCCAGCAUGAGUUAAUGACCAAAGAAUGUCUUAGCCCAUUACAUAAGCGAAAGUGAAACCUCUGAGGAACAAAUAAACAAAGGGUAUCAUAUUGAUAUAAAAAUACAAGCUUACUCUGUGGUUGCUAACAUACAUCACUGUGGAAACAAACUCAUGUCCGAAGUGACUAUGGUUAAACUUGGAACCACAUGACAGGAGCUUUAGGAAGUUUUGAAGUAAUCAAGAAUAACUUGAACAAAAUAGCUUUCUUCCCCAAGCUUAUGGCUUUGAGAGAAAGGACAAGGAUUCCUCUCUGGAGAGGAGGGACCACAAUGCAAGGGGACCAAGUGACUCAAGGUAUGUUAUUUCAUAUAAAAGAAAGAAACUACUGUCGCUUCGGAAAACGACUGUAAGUUGACUGCCAUCAGUUAGGAUUCAGCUCUAAAAUCCAUGAGACUGUGGUAGGAUUCUUUUCUUCUCAGCUAUGCAUACAUUCAAGGUUGCUGAAAAAUCUUUCUCCUUUCAUUUCUUAGGAAAACCAAGACUGUUACCAUGUCGCUCUGCCAACUAGGAAACUCAGAGUCAAACCAAGGCCCACUCUUAACUUAUAAGUGCAGAAAACUUUAGGUAAAUGUAGCUUUAAGUCCACCUCAUUAUUGGAUUAACUUUGUUUUUAACCCUUAUUUUUCUUUCAUUCCCCAUUUUAUGAUUUUUUUUAAAACAGUGUGUUUCACAUACCAUGUGUUUUAGAAUGAAGUAGAAUACAAGAAAAAAAUAAACUUUCUGCCCAAACAAGGCAGCAUGAGAAACAGGUACCUGCUGGUGUUACAAUAUCUCAAUGAACAGAACAGGUUCUAAUUGCUGUCUGUUAGACACCUACGUCAGUAUCAUUAAGUUCAUUAGAUAGACAGGAAUCUUGUUGCAGCUAUAACAUGAUGGCACAUUAAAUGUUCAUGAACAAAAGAGGAGGUAUUCAAGGUAAGAUGGGCAGAGCCAAUGAAAACAAUCAGCUGUGCAAUUCCAACUCUUUUAGGGUUGAUUUCCACCCAGCCUGGGAAAGGCUUCCAAGAGGAGCUCCUUUGGCCUGCCUAGGUGGUUCUCUUACAGAAACUUGGUUGUAUCCUAGGUACACUUAGUCCCUCAGCUUCCACCUACUGGGACAGACCAGACUGUUGUCCAGACCAAUGGGUCAGAACCCACCCUUGACCUCUGGAAAGGUUACUUUGCUUGUUAUCUGAUUAUUUUAUUUACAUGCUAGCAGUUUUAUUUCUUUUUUCUGUUUUUAGAAAAUUAAAAAAUAAUUUUUUAAAUCCCAAGAGUAAGAGAAGGGCAAUAAAAAUUCAGAUAUACCAAAAUAUAUAAAAUAUAAAAUCAAACUUCCUUUCUUUUCCUCUCUUCUCCCCUUCCAAUGCUCCCACCCAUUUGUCAAAUGUUAGUCAGUUCAGUUCAGUCACUCAGUUGUGUCCGACUCUUUGUGACCCCAUGAAUUGCAGCAUGCCAGGCCUCCCUGUCCAUCACCAACUCCUGGAGUUCACUCAAACUCAUGUCCAUCAAGUCAGUGAUGCCAUCCAGCCAUCUCAUCCUCUGUCAUCCCCUUCUCCUCCUGCCCCCAACCCCUCCCAGCAACAGAGUCUCUUCCAAUGAGUCAACUCUUUGCAUGAGGUGGCCAAAGUACUGGAGUUUCAGCCUUAGCAUCAUUCCUUCCAAAGAACACCCAGGACUGAUCUCCUUUAGAAUGGACUGGUUGGAUGUCCUUGCACUCUAAGGGACUCUCAGGAGUCUUCUCCAACACCGCAGUUCAAAAGCAUCUAACUGCAGUGUGAACCCAUCUGGAUCUUUUCUGUACACAUUCAGACAUCUUUACAUACACAUACAUGUGCUCAUAAAGUCUGUGUAUAGUGCUUUUUUCUUUAAAGAAUUUUUCUCUUCACAUUCUAUAACUUGCUUUUUACAGUCAGUAAAAUAUUGUGAACUACUGUUACAUACAUAGCAACCACAUUCUUUAUAAUGGCUACUGAAUGAAUCAUGAAACUAUACCAAAAUGUACUCAACCUAUUAAGGAACAUAGGUUGUUUCUAAUAUUAUGAUAGGACAGAUUAAUGCUGCAUUGAGCAGUCUUAUACUUGUAUUACUCUUUUUAUUUCUAAGAGUAGAACUGCUGGGUCAAAGGGUAUGCAUGUAUUGAAUUUUGAUAGCCACUGCCAAACUGCCUUCCUGAAAGACUGACCAAUUUGUACUUCUACUAACUAUGAAAGAAUGCCCUUUGUUCACAUUCUCAUCAACAAUGGAUAUUGCCUGCUUUUUUUCCAUUUUCUGUUUUUUUUUUUAAAUUUUGGCAGAACUGAUUGGCAAGAGCAUGGUACUUAUUUUAAUUUGUAUUUACCAGACCAAUAGUAAGCUUGAUCACUUUUAGUCUUUUACUAUGGGUGCAAUGAAAGACGAAGUUGAAGGAGGGGUUUUAAUGUAUUUCUUUUAGAUACAGAUGACCAAUCCAAAGUGUGAUAUGUUCAGCUACUGAUCUCUAAGAGGGCUUCCUUGGUGGCUCAGAUGGUAAAGAAUCAGCCUGCAAUGCAGGAGACCUGAGUUCGAUCCCUGGGUUGGAAGAUGCCCUGGAGAAGGGAAUGGCAACCCACUCCAGUAUUCUUGCUUGGAGAAUCUCCAUGGACAGAGGAGACUGGCAGGGUACAGUCCAUAGGGUCACAAAGAGUCAGACAUGACUGAGCUACUAAGCACAGCUUAAGAAGAUCCACAUUUGAAUGUUACACAUUUCCGUGUUAGGAAAGUCAGUCAUAAUUGUACUCCCAAGGUCAAAUUGCAUAUGAUGUUUAUUCUUGGCUUUACAUAAUGGCUUUGGCCCAGAAAAUUAAAAGAUGUCAGAACUAUAUUUUGAUAAUUUUCCCUUGUGCCAACAUUAUCACACUAGCAGUUACAAACAACAGAAACAACUCUGACCAAAUUAUGGAUAAUAAGUUUAUUCUGUAAUGGUUGAGAGCCCACAAUUGGGCUAAUUAAUGGGAUGACUGGCCCCCAGUCAGACCUUGGUGGUCUCUUAGCAGGCAUGGUAUGGCUGGAAGGUCUCCUCCACACAGCAAAUGUUUUAAAUUUCUUGAUCUCUGUGCUCAAGAAUCUACUUCUAGGGAGAAAGCAUCUAUUGGUUUAACUUGGGCCUCAAGGGAAGGCAGGCUCUUAAUUACAAUCCCAAUAGACUGAAUCCAACAGGAAGAGAUCCUUCUUCAAAAGAAAACUGGGGUAUUGUCAGGGAGUGAAGUGGAUGCUAGUCAGCCAAAACUGAAACAGAACAAACAAAACCAUCCUCUACACUAAUCCUUCCAGCUGCCAUUUCUUCUCUUCCCCUUGUAAACCUCUCAGUGCCCGCAGUCUUCAUAAUCUUUCAGAUAGCAUAGCAAGCUGCUUAUAUCCAGAAUGGGGACUCCAUGGGAGCAUAACAGAGACCAUCUUACUCAACUUGCAUUUUGUGCUAUGCUUUCUUAAGUAUUUUCUACUAUUCCAGCCCUGGGAUCAAAACACCAAAGUCAAGACUUCUCUUGUGGUCCAGUGGUUAAGAAUCUGCCUUCUAAUGCAGGGAAUGAGGGUUCGAUCCUUGGAUGGGGAACCAGGAUUCCACAUGCCGUGGAGCUACUAAGCCUGCUCAAUACAACUAGAGAGCCCAGGUGCAGUAACUACUGAAGUGCUCCAGAGCCUGCGCUCCACAACAGAGAAGUCCAAGCAUCGCAACCAGAGAAAACCUGCACACUGAAUGACGACAUAGUGCAGCCCAAAGCAAAAAAUACGCUGGAGUCUUAGAAUAAGAAAAAUUUUCCGGAGAGGUUAUAAUAUUGGCUUUCUCUCACUCUGCAUUUUACUUGGUUAUCCUUGAAUACAUAGACAUUCUGUGCAUUUAUUUAUUCAUUCAUUCAUCCAACUACUACUUAUAGAAAGCAAUGUUGUGCUAUACAUUGUUCUAGGUGCUGAAGGAACAGCAAUGAAAUGGAAAGACAAGGUCUCUGUCCUAGUAACAGACGAUGCUGGAAGGAGGAAGCAAGGCUGGAAUUUGGACUUGGGAUUUUAUCCGAAAAGCAAUGUAAAAUACUUAAAGGUUUUGGACAGUUUUUCCAGUCUCCAGCACCAGCUGGCCCCUGCAUGUAAGGAGGUUACUAACUCAAGCAACACUGCUGGUGGACCCAUCGUUUGGCCCAGAUCAUAGAAGGAUUCUCAACUAACUCUGUUCAGUACCAUCUUGUUUGGAGGGAGACAUGUUCCUCAUCAUGCCCACAUCCUCACACAGACUGUAGAGACGGUGGUGCUACAUUUGCCUGGUCGUGGAGGAAACAUUUCCAGCUGGUGUCUGCUGGCUCCUUCAUCAAAGCUGCUUCUGAACCUCUCAUAGUGCUCCUCCCAACAUGCAAAGCCUUUGGGUGGUUAGGAGUUUUCUCCACCAAAUUGUCAGAGUCCUGAUGACAGUACUUCAAGACAGAAGCUGACUCACCCAGGUGGCUAAAGAAUCCUCCUGCCAAUGCAGGAGACCAGGGUUCGAUCUCUGGAUUGGGAAGAUCCCCUGGAGGAGGAAAUGGCAACCCAC